GAUGAACGCUAGCGAUAGGCUUAACACAUGCAAGUCGAGGGGCAGCACAAGGUAGCUUGCUAUCUGGGUGGCGACCGGCGCACGGGUGCGUAACGCGUAUGCAACUUGCCCUAUACAGGAGGAUAACCCGUCGAAAGACGGACUAAUACUGCGUAUGCUCACAACUUGGCAUCAAGUGGUGAGGAAAGAAAUUCGGUAUAGGAUAGGCAUGCGUCCCAUUAGCUUGUUGGUGAGGUAACGGCUCACCAAGGCAACGAUGGGUAGGGGAACUGAGAGGUUUAUCCCCCACACUGGUACUGAGACACGGACCAGACUCCUACGGGAGGCAGCAGUGAGGAAUAUUGGUCAAUGGGCGCGAGCCUGAACCAGCCAAGUCGCGUGAAGGAUGACUGUCUUAUGGAUUGUAAACUUCUUUUAUACGGGAAUAACAAGAGUCACGUGUGACUCCCUGCAUGUACCGGAUGAAUAAGCAUCGGCUAACUCCGUG
rnacentral:rRNA from 1 species